GAAAGGUCUAAAUAAAGUGUUGAAAAUAAACUCGUUAAAUUUCAAGAAAAAAAGUAUAAAUAAAUUGUUUAGAAUAAACUUGUUAAAUUUCAAGAGAAAAGUCUAAAUAAAGUGUUGAGAAUAAACUCGUUAAAUUUCAAGAGAAAGGUCUAAAUAAAGUGUUGAAAAUAAACUCGUUAAAUUUCAAGAGAAAAGUCUAAAUAAAGUGUUGAAAAUAAACUCGUUAAAUUUCAAGAGAAAAGUCAAAAUAAAGUGUUGAGAAUAAACGUUAAAUUUCAAGAAAAAAGUCAAAAUAAAAUGUUUAGAAUAAACUUGUUAAAUUUCAAGAAAAAAAGUAUAAAUAAAUUGUUUAGAAUAAACUUGUUAAAUUUCAAGGGAAAAGUCUAAAUAAAGUGUUGAGAAUAAACUCGUUAAAUUUCAAGAGAAAAGUCAAAAUAAAGUGUUGAGAAUAAACUCGUUAAAUUUCAAGAAAAAAGUCAAAAUAAAGUGUUGAGAAUAAACUCGUUAAAUUUCAAGAGAAAAGUCUAAAUAAAGUGUUGAAAAUAAACAUUAAAUUUCAAGAGAAAAGUCAAAAUAAAGUGUUGAGAAUAAACUCGUUAAAUUUCAAGAGAAUAGUCUAAAUAAAGUGUUGAAAAAAAACUCGUUAAAUUUCAAGAGAAAAGUCUAAAUAAAGUGUUGAAAAUAAACUUGUUAAAUUUCAAGAGAAAAGUCUAAAUAAAGUGUUGAAAAUAAACGUUAAAUUUCAAGAGAAAAGUCAAAAUAAAGUGUUGAGAAUAAAC
ensembl:lncRNA